ensembl:misc_RNA
AGAAUCCGUUUGGGCUCGGCCGGCUUCCAGGCUGCGCGAGGUGGACACACAAAACCCAGGGCCAAGUUGGAAAA